GCUGGCAUAUGAAACAGCAAUGAGAUUCAGAGAAAAUAUACCUUAAAAUACACCUGAUAGUGAGUUCUACUUUUAAGGUAUGCGCAAUUUUUCGUUUAAGUGGAGUAACAAAGCAAUCCCUAAGAAAUGAAUGUGACAAGGUCACUAUGUUCUAUGUUGUACUUCCCAAUAGUUGAUGGAAAUCAACGGCAACGCACAUAAUGAAUGUAUCAUUUGAAAUUUCAUAUUUUGGCUAAAGAAGAGGUGAAGCAUGCCAUACAUGUUACUGCAAAUAAAUAGAGGAGCACUUCCAAUUG
rnacentral:lncRNA from 1 species